AGGGCUUCUUAAUACAUAAAAAUGUAGAUAUAUAAAUUACGAAACUAACGCAAUUAGGACCAUGUCCUACUUUCAUUAUCUUGUUAUCGCUCAACUAUCACCGGGAAUCGGUGAAAGAUUCAUCUAGCGACUUCCAAAAGACUCUUCUCGGAGAUACGCGAGAGUACUACCAAAUUGUUUGCUGGGUUUUAUUAACAUGUGGCAAACAUUUAUAUUCUUAUCGUCGCUUCUUGUGUGGAUUUAUUUUUACCCCUGUUUAAGUGUUAACAGCGCAUACAGGGACCUUUCCUGCUUGGAAUAGGCCAAUUAAUUUACAAAUACCAAUAAAGUAUAUAUAUAUAUGGUGCAAUUUGGUAAGUUGUUUGUAAGCAGAGUUUCUAACAACAAAUCAAUUUCAUAAAUCAACACUUAAAAAAUUUCAAAAUAUUUAUUAAAGAUCCGUGUGCAGUCAGUAGUUACGUAACAGCUAUUUUCAUAGAAACUUUCGGGCAAACUAGAGUCCUUAAAUUUGUGAAUACCGAUGUGUAAAUGCAGUCAUGC
rnacentral:lncRNA from 1 species